rnacentral:rRNA from 1 species
CCAGACUCCUACGGGAGGCAGCAGUGGGGAAUAUUGCACAAUGGGGGAAACUCUGAUGCAGCGACGCCGCGUGAGGGAAGACGGUCUUCGGAUUGUAAACCUCUGUCUUUGGGGAAGAAAAUGACGGUACCCAAAGAGGAAGCUCCGGCUAGCUACGUGCCAGCAGCCGCGGUAAUACGUAGGGAGCGAGCGUUGUCCGGAUUUACUGGGUGUAAAGGGCGUGUAGCCGGGUUGACAAGUCAGAUGUGAAAUCCUGCGGCUUAACCGCAGAACUGCAUUUGAAACUGUUGAUCUUGAGUACUGGAGAGGCAGACGGAAUUCCUAGUGUAGCGGUGAAAUGCGUAGAUAUUAGGAGGAACAUCAGUGGCGAAGGCGACUUUCUGGACUGUAACUGACGCUGAGGCACGAAAGUGUGGGGAGCAAACAGGAUUAGAUACCCCGGUACC